GAUGAACGCUGGCGGCGUGCCUAAUACAUGCAAGUCGAGCGAACAGACGAGGAGCUUGCUCCUCUGACGUUAGCGGCGGACGGGUGAGUAACACGUGGAUAACCUACCUAUAAGACUGGGAUAACUUCGGGAAACCGGAGCUAAUACCGGAUAAUAUAUUGAACCGCAUGGUUCAAUAGUGAAAGACGGUUUUGCUGUCACUUAUAGAUGGAUCCGCGCCGCAUUAGCUAGUUGGUAAGGUAACGGCUUACCAAGGCAACGAUGCGUAGCCGACCUGGGAGAGUGAUCGGCCACACUGGAACUGAGACACGGUCCAGACUCCUACGGGAGGCAGCAGUAGGGAAUCUUCCGCAAUGGGCGAAAGCCUGACGGAGCAACGCCGCGUGAGUGGUGAAGGUCUUCGGAUCGUAAAACUCUGUUAUUAGGGAAGAACAAAUGUGUAAGUAACUAUGCACGUCUUGACGGUACCUAAUCAGAAAGCCACGGCUAACUACGUG
rnacentral:rRNA from 1 species